rnacentral:sRNA from 1 species
CCCUAGCCCUGAUAGCAGCGGCAUCCUUUCACGUAGCGUAGCGAAGUGAAAGAUAGAGCGGAUAGCAGGUUCCCGG